rfam:Oreochromis niloticus linkage group LG11, whole genome shotgun sequence.
AUUUUGGAUUUUCUCAAAUCCACACAGGGUCAAAAACAAAUAUAC